AUGGCAGAGCUGAGCAGCCACAUCCAGCAGCAGCAGCAGGAGAUGGAGUCCUAUCAGUCCCGGGGCCAGAGAGAAGCAGUAGGGCUGGAGCCACAGCAUGGGGGGGCCCAGACACGCCAGGACUCACAGCAGCAGAACACUCCAGCCUUCCUACAGAUGCUGCAGGUGGACUUGGACAUCUGCAGGGACAUGAACAGCAUGCGGCUGGCCCAGCUGCAUCUGCAGCAGCGCGUGGUGGAGCAGAAGCACCAGGACUUGAUCUCUCAGAAGCAUCAUUACCAGGCAAUGAUGGAGCAGGUACCGCUGCCCAGUGCAAAGGCCACAGGCUGGGCUGUGCAAAUUCCCGACCCUCAGCCACAUGUCCCCUGCAGCCAUCUCAGACCCAGCAAGGCACCACUACUGCCCAACAGCACUGCAGAGGGCAGUGACCAACCCACAGAGUGCAGGACACAUUCUAGCUGCCAUGCGCAGGGUGAGAAGCAGCACCACACUCCCAGCUCCAAACAGGCACAGUUGUUGUGGGCCUGUCUGCUCAACAGAGCAGAGCUGGGUGAUUGCAGCCCCCAUGUGGCACCUGUAGCCUGGGAUCCACGGAGCUGGGCUCACUGCCCUUCUCCACACCCCAACAUGGGUCAGGGGCUGCUGCCUAGGGCUGCUGGGGGACAGGAGACACUGCCACCAUGGGAAGGGCACGAGGGUCUGUGGCUGGGACCAGGGGCCAGGAGCUGCAGCCCCAUGGGGCUGGCCAUGUCCCUUUGCCAAAAACCCAUCCCAAAGUCCACAACCAUCAGGCUGUCCCAGCUUGGCUUUCUCCAGCUUGAGUGCCAGCCCCUCCAUGGGCAGAGCAUGGUGCAGUGUACUCCACUGGGAGCCCACACACAGCACUGCAUCUCUCCACAGGACCAGAAGGACACAGUUCAGAUAGAGGCCACCUCUGCAGAUUCCUGUAGUAGUUCCAGUGCAAGCGAUGAUCUCCUGGAGGAGUACACAGAGCAACUGGAGCAGGUGGCCACGCAAGCAGGCAGAGAGCACUGCAUGCAGAGGGAAGCCCAGGAGCAUCAGUGCUGGGCACAGGACAUGUCAUCAACAGGACACAGCACUGCUAAAGAAGAAGCCCAGGGCAGGAGGAGACAGUGCCAGCGAGCAAGCCUGUCUCGAGCGGCCCAGGUCCCAGCACGGUCACUGGCAGCCCAGAGCCGCCUACAGCACAAGGAGGAACAGCUGCAGCCACGUGCAGGGAGCACCAUGCAGUGCACAGAGGAACAGCCAUGUUCUUGUGCAAGGAGCAGUAUGCAGCACACAGCUGAUGGCAACGAAGUGGAGCCACGAGCACAGCAGGAGGUAGCAGAAAGCAGGGAGAUGGCAGUGUGGCUCCAGAUGGAGUUGAGCCGGUGGCAGCAGAAGCAGCAGGUGACUCUGGAACAGUCACUGCAAUACAUGCAUGCUGCUGCCCGUGCCAAACAGGAGCUACAAAAGAGCCAAGAGCAACUCCAAGCCCUGAAGAACCAGCUGAAGGCUCAGAAGGAGCAGAACCGGACCCUGCAGCACAGCCUGGAAAAGCAGCAAGAGGUGCUGGCAGCCACCAAGGCCCGGGAGAUGCAAAGUUUGCAGCAGCUCAGUAGACACAAGCAGACAAUCCACGACCUACAGCAGAAAGCAGCCUCGAGCAGAAAGAAGAUGGCAGAGCUGCUAGAGCAGGUGAUGGCAGGAACAGGGCAACCACACGAUGCAGCCAGCUGCCACGCAGCUCCCUCUGCCUCAGCUGCAGGAUUGAGCCCACAGCGCCGGCACUGGGUGCAGCUCCAGCUUCCUCUGUCUGCCCACUCCCACUCCCAGACCCACCCUUUUUCGUGCAGGUGGAGGACGUGGCAUCCCUGAAGGCAGAGCUGGCCCAAGCCCAGAGAAAGAUAGGCCACAAUCUUCCACUCCUUUGUCGUUAUGAGAAAGAGAGGCAGCAGCUCCACAGGGAGCUCAAGGAGCAACAGAGGGCCCAGGUGCAGAGCCAGCAGGAGGUAAGCAUGGCCCGAGCCUUCCCGCUAGGUGCCUGUGCUAACCCUGCACAUCCCUCAUCACCCCUCUGUGCCGCUGGCAGGCCCGCUCCUUCCAGGAGAAGCUGCAAAAGCUGAGCAGCCAAGUUCGGUACUGGCAGGAGUUACACCAGGACACUCAGCGAACUCUGGCUAGACGGGAAGAUGAGCUGUCUGUCUGCAACGCGGAGAUGGAUUUCAAGGAAGAAUUCAUCAAGGCCAUGAGACAGGCUCAGGCCAGGAACAGGCAGAACCACAGCCCAAGGACAGGAGGAGUGCAACCUGAGCCCCAGGCACCACUGAAGGACAGAUCCUGGCCUACAGGCAGGGCAGAGGCGGAAAGGCCGGGCCAGGAGUGGGCUAACUGCAGAGCCAGCACCAACAAGGGAGGAGGCGGUGGCGGUGGGUCUGUAAGCAGCAGCAGUGCUAACAUCUUGUUCUUCUUUAAGUAGUCCACUUUUCUCUGUUGCGAGAAAGGUGUCCUCAGUAUGAAAUGAAGAGUUUCUGUCCAGACUGCUGAGGUAAUGGUUCCUUCAUUCCAGAGCAGCUAUCCCAAGACACAGGCAACUGCAGACUCACAGCUCAGCCCCAAAGGCUGCUGCCUCCACACAGCUCUGUUCAUGCACCUUCCUUCUGCCCUGGGCGUGUAGAGGUUGAGUAGAGCACGCGAGUUCACACACAGCACAUUGGUUUUUUUUAGGUAAAAACCCUGCAUGCUUCCCACACCCCAGCCUGUUCUAAUAGCAGUAGGCUGCACCAGGACAGGAAUCUGAUGCUGAUCAAUAAUAGCCAGAGUGUGAAAGAGCAGAUGUGAGUAAGAAGCCUUACACAAGUAGAGGGGAGCUGAUGGCUGCCUUCUCACAACUAAUUCAGCCUACACCUCAUUUUCAGGCAGUCAAAUGAGAAACACCACAAGAUCCAGCAGCAAGUCAAGCAGGCUGCAGAGUUCACAGGCGAAAACCAGUAAGUAAUGAACACGGGGAGUGGGUCUGAGCACUUACUGCCACCCACAGGGGUGCAUGGGAUGAUGAACUGCUGGAUUACCCAAAUUCUUGGAAGGCCAGCAGAGCAAGGCUGUCUCUGCACCAGUACCUUACCCUCACCUUAUCUCAUUUCCUCUGCCUGUCCUCCAGACAUCUUCAAGACACACUGGACAGCUUGCACGUGGAAAACACAUACUUCAGGGCUAGAACACAUGUACAGUACCACAAUCAUGAGCAGAUGAAGGUGAGCAGAGUAACAGUCAACCUGGCCCAAAACAGUGCUAAGCUGAUAAUCUUUUGUGUACAGGGACAGCUAGGCCUAGCUGCCCGUCCAGGAUACAGGUCAUAGAAGACUUGCCUUUGCAGUAGUCCAGGCCAGAGCUGGGCCAGGCUGGUCCUCCAUGCCAAUAUAAUUCUUUGCCUUGUCCCAGGCUCUACAGGGCAACAACCUGACUGCACGAGCCCUUCAGAACUUGGCAGGGCUGUCUCUGCCUGGAACUCACUCCAGGAUGAGAAGUGACACAAAACAACGGGAGGGUUAAAGACUGACAACCUUUAAACAAAUAAAAUUAUUUCUCUUCUGUAGCAAAAAUAGUACAGAGCAUCAAAGCCUUCUUGGGCCACAGGCUGUAGAGAGCCUCACAGCAGUCAGAGGAACUGAGCCCUAAAACUCAGCAGCUCCUGGGAAGUCUUUAUGUCUCG
ensembl:lncRNA